rnacentral:rRNA from 1 species
AUACGGAGGAUCCGAGCGUUAUCCGGAUUUAUUGGGUUUAAAGGGUGCGUAGGUGGUUUGAUAAGUCAGCGGUGAAAGUUUGCAGCUUAACUGUAAAAAUGCCGUUGAAACUGUCGGACUUGAGUGUAAAUGAGGUAGGCGGAAUGCGUGGUGUAGCGGUGAAAUGCAUAGAUAUCACGCAGAACUCCGAUUGCGAAGGCAGCUUACUAAGCUACAACUGACACUGAAGCACGAAAGCGUGGGGAUCAAACAGGAUUAGAUACCCUGGUAGUCCACGCAGUAAACGAUGAUUACUAGCUGUUUGCGAUACACAGUAAGCGGCACAGCGAAAGCGUUAAGUAAUCCACCUGGGGAGUACGCCGGCAACGGUGAAACUCAAAUGAAUUGACGGGG